rnacentral:rRNA from 1 species
AGUGAACGCUGGCGGUAGGCCUAACACAUGCAAGUCGAACGGCAGCACAGUAAGAGCUUGCUCUUACGGGUGGCGAGUGGCGGACGGGUGAGGAAUACAUCGGAAUCUACUUUUUCGUGGGGGAUAACGUAGGGAAACUUACGCUAAUACCGCAUACGACCUACGGGUGAAAGCAGGGGAUCUUCGGACCUUGCGCGAUUGAAUGAGCCGAUGUCGGAUUAGCUAGUUGGCGGGGUAAAGGCCCACCAAGGCGACGAUCCGUAGCUGGUCUGAGAGGAUGAUCCGCCACACGGGAACUGAAGCACGGUCCAGACUCCUACGGGAGGCAGCAGUGGGGAAUAUUGGACUAUGGGCGCAAGCCUGAUCCAGCCAUACCGCGUGGGUGAAGAAGGCCUUCGGGUUGUAAAGCCCUUUUGUUGGGAAAGAAAAGCAGCAGGUUAAUACCCCGCUGUUCUGACGGUACCCAAAGAAUAAGCACCGGCUAACUUCGUG